rnacentral:rRNA from 1 species
CCGUUAUCCAGCUCAGAAAAGUUGUCACUUAUGGAAGGUAAACCUUUGAGUCAGGAAGAUAGCACAAAAUAUAGAAGUCUAGUAGGAGCUCUUCAGUACCUAACUCUUACCAGGCCUAAUCUUUCAUUUGCUGUCAACAAAGUCUGUCAAUUUUUGCAUGCACCUACCACUGUUCACUUGACAGCUGCCAAACGUAUCAUUAGAUAUGUUAAACAUACUCUGAGUAUAGGUCUGAAUUUCAGCAAGUCAUUCUCUACUCUUGUCAGUGCCUUUUCUGAUUCUGAUUGGGCAGGCUGCCUGGAUGACAGGCGCUCCACAGGAGGCUUUGCAGUAUUUUUUGGACCUAACUUGAUAGCAUGGUGUGCACGCAAGCAGGCUACUGUCUCUAGGUCAAGCACUGAGGCAGAGUACAAGGCAUUAGCAAAUGCCACAGCUGAAAUCAUAUGGGUUCAGUCUAUGUUGAAAGAGCUUGGUGUGAAGAGCAAACAAGCUCCAUGCUUGUGGUGUGACAACCUUGGUGCUACUUAUCUUUCUGCU